rnacentral:rRNA from 1 species
GACGAACGCUGGCGGCGUGCUUAACACAUGCAAGUCGAACGAUGAAGCUUGGUGCUUGCACUGGGUGGAUUAGUGGCGAACGGGUGAGUAACACGUGAGUAACCUGCCCUUUACUUCGGGAUAAGCUUGGGAAACUGGGUCUAAUACCGGAUAUUCUGCGUGAUCGGAUGGUUGUGUAGGAAAGAUUUUUUGGUAAGGGAUGGGCUCGCGGCCUAUCAGUUUGUUGGUGGGGUGAUGGCCUACCAAGACGACGACGGGUAGCCGGCCUGAGAGGGCGACCGGCCACACUGGGACUGAGACACGGCCCAGACUCCUACGGGAGGCAGCAGUGGGGAAUAUUGCACAAUGGGGGAAACCCUGAUGCAGCGACGCCGCGUGGGGGAUGACGGCCUUCGGGUUGUAAACCUCUUUCAGUAGGGAAGAAGCGAAAGUGACGGUACCUGCAGAAGAAGUACCGGCUAACUACGUGCCAGCAGCCGCGGUAAUACGUAGGGUACUAGCGUUGUCCGGAAUUAUUGGGCGUAAAGAGCUCGUAGGUGGUUUGUCGCGUCUGCUGUGGAAACGUGCCGCUUAACGGUGCGCGUGCAGUGGGUACGGGCGGACUAGAGUGCAGUAGGGGAGUCUGGAAUUCCUGGUGUAGCGGUGAAAUGCGCAGAUAUCAGGAGGAACACCGGUGGCGAAGGCGGGACUCUGGGCUGUUACUGACGCUGAGGAGCGAAAGCAUGGGGAGCGAACAGGAUUAGAUACCCUGGUAGUCCAUGCCGUAAACGUUGGGCACUAGGUGUGGGGUCCAUUCCACGGAUUCUGCGCCGUAGCUAACGCAUUAAGUGCCCCGCCUGGGGAGUACGGGCCGCAAGGCUAAAACUCAAAGGAAUUGACGGGGGCCCGGCACAAGCGGCGGAGCAUGCGGAUUAAUUCGAUGCAACGCGAAGAACCUUACCAAGGCUUGACAUGCACUAGACGAUUGCAGAGAUGUGGUUUUCUUUUUGACUGGUGUACAGGUGGUGCAUGGUUGUCGUCAGCUCGUGUCGUGAGAUGUUGGGUUAAGUCCCGCAACGAGCGCAACCCUCGUUCUAUGUUGCCAGCACGCGAUGGUGGGAACUCAUGGGAGACUGCCGGGGUCAACUCGGAAGAAGGUGGGGAUGACGUCAAAUCAUCAUGCCCUUUAUGUCUUGGGCUUCACGCAUGCUACAAUGGCCGGUACAGAGGGGGGCGAUACCGUGAGGUGGAGCGAAUCUCUUAAAGCCGGUCUCAGUUCGGAUCGUAGUCUGCAACUCCACUACGUGAAGUCGGAGUCGCUAGUAAUCGCAGAUCACCAAUGCUGCGGUGAAUACUUUCCGGGGCCU